UUCACCUUGGCUUGGAGUCUCUUUUUUUUUCACAAGCUACACCAAAAAUCCAAGGGCAUCCAAGCUUGAUCAAGGUGAUUGGAAGGAUUCCUAGGAGAAAUUGAAGGGUUCAAGAGACUUAGAAAUGCCAAGGAUCUCCAUAUAAUUAGCUAAGAUUUCAAAAUUUGGAGAGGUAAGGGCAAUGGAUAUGUCAACUGGCCAUGAGUUGGAGAACUUUAGAGCGGCGAGUACACGUUUGGCCUGCUCGGCCACCAUGGUCGAGAUAUUUCGUUGGACUUAGAGUAUAAAAAUCUAAUUUUAUCGCUUAGGCUGACUAUUUUGUACACCCUGAAUGUAAUUAUGUUUUGAUAAACCUUUUUGGGAUCCCUUGUAUAUA